UACGUAGGGUGCAAGCGUUAAUCGGAAUUACUGGGCGUAAAGCGUGCGCAGGCGGUUUUGUAAGACUGUCGUGAAAUCCCCGGGCUCAACCUGGGAAUGGCGAUGGUGACUGCAAGGCUAGAGUUUGGCAGAGGGGGGUAGAAUUCCACGUGUAGCAGUGAAAUGCGUAGAUAUGUGGAGGAACACCGAUGGCGAAGGCAGCCCCCUGGGUCAAAACUGACGCUCAUGCACGAAAGCGUGGGGGGCAAACAGG
rnacentral:rRNA from 1 species